ACCUGGGUGGCUCAGUUGGUUAAGCAUCUGACUUUGACUCAGGUCAUAAUCUCACAGUUCAGUUCAUGAGUUCGAGCCCCAUGUCAGGUU
rnacentral:tRNA from 1 species